GUGCUCACUUCAGCAGCACAUAUACUAAAAUUGAAAUGAUACAGAGAAGAUUAACAUGGCCCCUGCGCAAGUAUGACAUGCAAAUUUGUGAAGCGUUCCAUUAACUA
ensembl:snRNA U6 U6 spliceosomal RNA